UCGAAAUUUCUAAUUGAACGCGAAUCAGGUGAGCGGGACGCGUCCGGAAACAAACCACUACCGAACCCUCACAUCCCCCAACAUGAAAAGACAUUAACACCAGCGAGCGUCAUCUGGCCAAUGGAUUGUGUUUUAAGCCAAGUUUCGUCCUGAUUGAACCUUGAUCUACAGUAACCAGGAACACCACACCUGCGUGCUACAAAACGACCAACGUGUGCUAGAGGUGGAACAAAAUGUGUAUUGGUAAAUGCCGAUAGUAACUAUCGAUUAGCAUAGAGGUGGAAAAUAAUGUGUAUUGGUAAAUGCCGAUAAAACUUCCUCGUCUAUAAAUACGCUUUUUUCCACCAAUUCGGGACUCAACGCUUCUUAAACAGCGUCAUUUCAAGCAAAAAAGCAUCAUUCAGAUGGCGAAGAAGACAAUAGAAUAUGAAGAUGAUGAAGAAUGCCGUCCAGCGUAACAGGACGACCAUGUGCGACAUUCACCCUAGGUCGACGGCAAAACCGGCCGAAAUUGCGUUUUGGUACUAAAAGAACAAGGAUGAGGCCAUAUGAGGCAUGAAAAGAUUCGGGCUAAGAAAAUAGACAUUUGCAAAUGAAAUGUGAACGAAGCAGUCCUGUUGGACGCCUUUCGUUUGGCCCCAACUAUGCAGGGCGUUUCUACUUUCGGUGCUUGACCUAUGACCAAUGUCAUCGUAAUUGGUUGCUUGCGAACACAAGAGCCACCCAGCUCAGUUCAAGGAAUACGACGAUGAAGUAAACCAAUCUUGAGUGCGGAUCAUUGGCAAAGAAAGGAGCCAAUAAAGAGGAAGCUUAGAUUGCUGAAGGGACAGAUUCGGCCAAGGAUCCGGAUUCCCAUUCUGAGCACCACAUUAAGAGCGGCAUGCUGCACGCCGGAAACCGAUCGAAGGAGGAGGAGCUGCAGCCGCUAAGGCUUUCCCUUGACUAAGGGACCAGAUCGCAAACAAGCUAGGCAAGCAACAGCGGAUGGAGCUCAAAAGGCUACUGGUUGGCGGACGGAACAGAACUGGCGGUAGUAGCGGGCUUUCUAUACAAAUUUGAUGGCGUGAAGCGACUGGACUGGCCGUCGGAGCAGCUUGAGAAUCGUCACAUGGCCGCACCGCUUUCAAAAAUGAGAAGGAAUUCGAAGCAGAGUCGCGGCCAGCAGAAGGCACAGAUUUAACAUGGACCACAUUGGGGCGGGAAUCAUUUAAGUAGAAAUGCAAAGGCUUAACUUCAAAAAGAAAUUAUUUUGUGGGCUUAUCUUAAUAAAAACUUGUAUCUAAAAUUUUGGCCAAAA
rnacentral:sRNA from 1 species